rnacentral:rRNA from 1 species
UUCAGAGCCACAUCUCCCUGUAGUUCUUGCCUGGUUUCCCACUUAGGCUAAGCAGGGUUGAGCCUGGCCAGUACCUGGAUGGGAGACCAACUGGGAAAACUAAGGUUGCUGCUGGAA